CUUCCUAUAAUCAGAUUCAACUUUACAAUUCUUUUUGUUUAAGCAAUUGGUUUUUUUGUUUGGUUGGUUUCUGUUUUUUUUUUUUUUUAUUUAUUUUUGGUGUUUUAUUUGGAGAAAGGAUGGCAAGAGAGUGUGUAGGGAAAAAGUG